UUUGGAAUCAUGUAAAUCGGUAACGUAUCCUUUGGAUCGACUGUUUUGUACUUUCCUUUCCCUAGUUCCGAUAGAGUUGGCUUAAGGGAUGGACUUGGCUUAGAAGACGAUGAAGAGCGUUUCGGAGACGGUGUGGUUGAUUUAGGUGGUGUCAGUCCUUUAGGUGAUGGAGAUGGUUUUUCGGCCGUGAAUGACAUUUUAAAUGAUGGAAGCGGACUAGGAGGAUAUAGAAUCGGCUUAAUCGGUAAUGUAUCCUCUGGAUUGAGUGUUUUGUACUUUCCUUUCCCUAGUUCUGAUAGAGUUGGCUUAAGGGAUGGACUUGGCUUAAAAGACGAUGAAGAGGGUUUCAGAGACGGUGUGGUUGGUUUAGGUGGUGUCAAUCCUUUAGGUGAUGGAGAUGGUUUCUGGGCCGUAAAUGAUGUUUCAAAUGAUGGCAGCAGACUAGGAGGAUAUAGAACUGGCUUAACCGAGGACUGAGAUGAUUUGGUUGAAGUUGUAGAUGAAUGAAUCUUAUAUAGCCACUCAUUUCCUGGUGA
rnacentral:lncRNA from 1 species